CGUUGGCUUCCACACAACAUGUUUUGGAUUUCAGGAGGAAAGAUUCCCAAAAGAACCAGCUGGAGGCUUUUAUGAUCUAGCCUAGAAGUCACAAGUGGUCACAUUCACCAUUCUAUGUAUCUGUGGCAAUCACAAAGACAUACUCAGGAUCCAGGAAACAGGAUAUUUAAUCACUGCUUCAUAGGGGCAAGAUUAAGUAAUAAUGUAAGAAGAGCAUGUAGGAAGGGAGAUGAAAGUUGUAGUCAUACUGGAGCAAAACACUUCUCAUUAAAUAUUGUGGGAACAGAGACUCAGAGAGGUGAAGUUGACUAUAAACUCAUUGAACCGUGCCAUUUCAGUACAGAGACGGGAACCAGUGUAAAGGACUGAUUACACAGAUGGAGAAUAUCAAGAUACAGACAACUACACAUGUCUUUCAAGAACAGUUUGCUGGGUGUUGACCAACAUCAAACUGCUUAUCCAGGAACCACUAGAAGUGAAUCUCUUCUUGAGUAUUCCAUACUGCUGCCCCUGCUAUUCACUUGGGGUCCCAGUCAGUUGUUACUAUAUAUUUGUCAUCUAUUGUGAGAGUCGUGAUAUCACCUUCCACAUCAGUGAUACUGAGAAGGAACAAAUCUGCCAAAGAUGCUUCACAGUUAGUUGUUACCUUUUUAAGAAGACUGUGCUUGAAAAUUAUGGUAAAACACAUUUAGAAGAAGGAUGUGCAUUUUCACAUCAGUCUAUGAAGUAUAACUUGACAUUUAAAUUAAAAUGCUGUUCUUCAAAAUUAAUUUUUCCUGUUUUAAUUCCAAGUUUUCUUGUACAGGGGAGAAGAGGUAAGGGGUAGCUCUAAUGUGUUGGCUUCAUUCACAGAAGAAACAUUUUUAUAAACAGUUAAGUGAUGCCAGCUUUCUGUUGAUGCCAUCAGAUCUUGCAAGCAAAAAAUAAGUUAAUUUCAAUAUCAGUUGAUAUUAUUUCAUUCAACCUAUGUAAUAAAGACUCUGUCUCCA